CCGAGCUCAUCUCCAUAGCUAAACUCCCUGCUUCCCUCUCUCACUGCCAGCACCUUUAUGACAUGGAAUAAACCAGGGGUUCUCCAACAAUGCCAAGCAACCAGAGCUUCCAGGGACUAAGCCACUACCUAAAGACUAUACAUGGACUGACCCUGGACUCUGACCUCAUAGGCAGCAAUGAAUAUCCUAGUUCCAUUUCCUGAAUGUAGCAAUGGAAACACCUGCACUGGAUCAACUACAUCCUCCCUAAACAGCGUCUUAAACCGUCACGAGUGCUUCAAGGACACAGGGGUAAAGGCAGGACAAAGAAGUAACUUUGAAAUGUGAGUGGAGCGGGGAGAAGGGCGAGAGGUGGCUGGGAGACACAGAAGGUUAGGCAAGGAUUGUUGCUUUCAAGUUAGGAGCUGGCUAAUGAAAAUGUUGCCUUCGUGAAUGUGGCUCUCCUAAUACGGUUUCCCAUCCUUCUAGAAGCAGGGUCUGCCUUCCCUUCCUACGAACUUUAUCUCACACAGGAAGGACAGGUUUGAUUUCUGUCUGUUGCCAGUCCUCAUACAAAGGAUCCUUUGGUCUACAAUUCCCAGGUUUGCUUGUCAUUCAACGGCAGGAAUGGAAACUGUAAACACAUAUUAAAACACUGACCUCCCCAGAAAAA